UAAUGCUCAGAAGAGGCAACAGACUAUUGGACCUCUGUUGAAGACUGAUCCAUAGGAAAAGGCUCCCAUCACUAAAGUACCUUGAUGAUGAAUCCAGCCCUGGUGUACUCCUGCUCUCCGCUUCCCUUGCACGGUGAGAGUCCUACCCUGAGACUUUUAAGACAUCCAAGAAUCAAUGUGGACUAGAACAUAUGAAACCACUUAAGAAGUGGGCAACAACAGCAGACUGAGGCAGCCUAGAGACCUGAUGCUAAGAUUAUCACACAAGGAGAGCAGAGCUGCAUGCAGGGUAGGAGCAAGCAGGAUGUUAGUUGUCUUCAGGCAAAAGGGGUUGAGGACCUAACCCAGUAACUUGCAGCUAGGGUGCCUUGAGAUCCUUUCAGCAAUGCCAGAGGGUGCCAGGCCAUGUGAGCUCUGUUUGGCAUGCAAACACGAUUCACAAAAUAAACGCAGAGUUUUCAAGUGGGAAUCCAUAGGCCCCUUGUGGCCUUUCUGAGUUCUUGGCAAUAGAAGAAUUGCCCUAUUAUUUUUUCUAUAGUCAAAAAUUGAGUGAAAACUAAGAGCUGGCAUUUUCAGAGGGGCACCUUGAGUCUAAAACGUUUGAGAGCCACUGUCCUAGACAUACUAUUUAUGAGGCAUGAGAAUGUGGGGCCCUACUGGGUUAGAAGAUCAUGCUGCGUAGAUGAGUCUGAACAAGAGCCACGGAAACUGUAGCUCUUGUUUAGCAUCUCAAAUUUAGCCAGGUUUUGUAUCUUCAGCCUGUCUUACUAUGAGCCCUCUCUGGAAAGAAGAGUCCCUUUCAUACAGUCCUCACUGACUCCCAGGGGUCCUAGCUUCUAAUCAAUAAUGUUUAUAGAUGUGGCAAAACUUACAGGGUGGCUCCAGCAAUGCCAGAGUCACCAUUAGGAAAUGGAAAUCUCUUUAACUCAGAGGACGACCGCAUGGCAUAAUUUGACAACAGAUUCUUUCCUAUUGGUAGUUGCUGAGCCAUGUAUUACAAUGGGUCUUUUCUGAAUCAAGGGCCUGCUACCAAUUUGGUAAUUACAUGCUGAGAAGCAAGAUGUUCCAUCUACGUCAGCUCCAAGAGGGGAGAACUCUUUAGUUUUGUGACAACUUGGUCAUUGUCAUGAACGGCUAGUUAAAAUAACGACUUGAACCUGGUUAAUUUGCAUCUGGAAUGCAAGGUCCCAUAAAGGUAAUACGAAGAUCUUCUUGAGAUGCCAUGGUCCAUUUCAUCAGGGCAUUGUAACAAGGCUGCCGACAAAACCAAGCCCUACUGUGCAAGAGCUCUUUUUCUAAAGUUUCCAGAAACAUUAAGUACCAAACAUGAUUCACAUUCCAAUAACAUUUGUUUCUGUUUCAAUCUUCAACUGAAUAAUAUAGCCCUGGCCCCUAGCUUGUAAUAAAGAUUCUAGUUGUCUUUUAACUGGAGAAAAAUAUGUGUUGUGUUAUAUGUGAUGAAGCACCACAGCAUUUGUAUCCCCCUUUUCAAAUCCCUAGAUCCACCCCUGAUCGUGGGAUACUGAGCUAGAUGAACCUUUUAAAAUCCUUUUUAAAAUUUUUGUGUUUGGUCCCUGGCAGAUGACUGCGGACAACUUUCCGGUUGAGAUACGGCGUAUGUGUAAAGUCCUUAGACAAGUUGGAGGUCUCUGACCAGUUUGCUCAGUGAGUGGAAGGCCUCAGUUCCAUGUUCAGAGUUAGGCUGAGAUAAUUGCAUCUAUUUAGACCCAUUUGAGGGCUGGAGUUUCUACUGAUAGAUGGUUUCCACAAACUCAAAACACUUCUCAGCCAGAUAAGAUCUCAAUGUCCUUGGUGAAAGACUCCUGGACCCUGAAUCCAGCCUCCUUCAAGGCAGGUCAAGGAUAUGUGUCCCUAUUUGAAGGAGAGUGGCAGGUUUGGCCACUUUACUCCAUAGCA